AAUACAUAGCGUAAUGAAGCGAACCGGGGGAACUGAAACAUCUAAGUACCCCGAGGAAAAGAAAUCAACCGAGAUUCCCCCAGUAGCGGCGAGCGAACGGGGAGCAGCCCAGAGUCUGAAUCAGCUUGUGUGUUAGUGGAACGGUCUGGAAAGUCCGACGGUACAGGGUGAUAGUCCCGUACACCAAAAUGCACAGGUUGUGAACUCGAAGAGUAGGGCGGGACACGUGGUAUCCUGUCUGAAUAUGGGGGGACCAUCCUCCAAGGCUAAAUACUCCUGACUGACCGAUAGUGAACCAGUACCGUGAGGGAAAGGCGAAAAGAACCCCGGCGAGGGGAGUGAAAAAGAACCUGAAACCGUGUACGUACAAGCAGUGGGAGCCUCUUUAUGGGGUGACUGCGUACCUUUUGUAUAAUGGGUCAGCGACUUAUAUUCUGUAGCAAGGUUAACCGUAUAGGGGAGCCGAAGGGAAACCGAGUCUUAACUGGGCGUUAAGUUGCAGGGUAUAGACCCGAAACCCGGUGAUCUAGCCAUGGGCAGGUUGAAGGUUGGGUAACACUAACUGGAGGACCGAACCGACUAAUGUUGAAAAAUUAGCGGAUGACUUGUGGCUGGGGGUGAAAGGCCAAUCAAACCGGGAGAUAGCUGGUUCUCCCCGAAAGCUAUUUAGGUAGCGCCUCGUGAAUUCAUCUUCGGGGGUAGAGCACUGUUUCGGCUAGGGGGUCAUCCCGACUUACCAACCCGAUGCAAACUGCGAAUACCGAAGAAUGUUAUCACGGGAGACACACGGCGGGUGCUAACGUCCGUCGUGAAGAGGGAAACAACCCAGACCGCCAGCUAAGGUCCCAAAGUCAUGGUUAAGUGGGAAACGAUGUGGGAAGGCACAGACAGCCAGGAUGUUGGCUUAGAAGCAGCCAUCAUUUAAAGAAAGCGUAAUAGCUCACUGGUCGAGUCGGCCUGCGCGGAAGAUGUAACGGGGCUAAACCAUGCACCGAAGCUGCGGCAGCGACACUAUGUGUUGUUGGGUAGGGGAGCGUUCUGUAAGCCGUUGAAGGUGUGCUGUGAGGCAUGCUGGAGGUAUCAGAAGUGCGAAUGCUGACAUAAGUAACGAUAAUGCGGGUGAAAAACCCGCACGCCGGAAGACCAAGGGUUCCUGUCCAACGUUAAUCGGGGCAGGGUGAGUCGACCCCUAAGGCGAGGCCGAAAGGCGUAGUCGAUGGGAAACAGGUUAAUAUUCCUGUACUUGGUGUUACUGCGAAGGGGGGACGGAGAAGGCUAUGUUAGCCGGGCGACGGUUGUCCCGGUUUAAGCAUGUAGGCGGAGGUUC
rnacentral:rRNA from 1 species